AGUGGAAUAGCUGGGUCAUAUGGUGGCCCAUUCCUGAUUUUUUGAGGAAUCUGCAUACUGCUUUCCAAAGUGGUUGUUCUGUUUUACAGUUCCACAAAUAAU
rnacentral:pre_miRNA from 1 species